GGGAGGUACGAGGUCACGUAUGAGACCCGGAUAGUGUCGUGCUUGUAAAUAAUGCGAAAACUUGUACGGCACGCACCGUCGCUGACCAAAAAAUCGUUACGUUAUCAACUAUCACGAAAAAUACUCGGAAACGGGAAUCAUUUUCUUUCUUCCUUUUUUGUUGCCGGUUUAAACUAGCCGGGAAUUUCGAGUUCAACAGAGGGACGUUUUAUGCGAAACUUUAGAAACCAUAAUGAUAUACAGUGUGUUCGGGCUAAAUAUUUCGGCCGGAUGACGUUGGAUUUAAAUUCCAAUUUACAAGCAAUACCGAAGUAUAUGCGGUUUAUGAUAAAUUACA